rnacentral:lncRNA from 10 species
AAAAAAAAAAAGUAACCUUCCCCUUCCCGAAGCCAUUAGGUAAGGCAGAGGAAAGUUGGCAUCCACAGAGAGGGAUGGCUUGUGAUGGGGAGUCAGAGCCUGAGCAGGGCAGGGCCAUUCACACAGGGGAGAGUAGAUUGUCAUGGGCUGUGAGAUGCUGAGGCAUCUACAUGGAUGGAAAAGGGUGGCUUGCACCUUUUACAGAGCCUGCACGGGGAGACAAGAUGUCCACAUACAAGGGUGGCCCACUGGAGGAUAUCAGAGCCCAAGCCAGAUGAGGGGGCCAUCAACAUGGCACAGGGGCAGCAACAGGGAUGGGAAAUUGGUUACUUACAGGGGGAAUAGAUUGAAGAAGAAAGCAUUUUGUCUUUUCUUUUCUUUUUUCUUUUUUUUUUUUUUUUUUGAAAUGGAGUUUCACUCUUGUUGCCCAGGUUGGAGUGCAAUGGCACGAUCUCGGCUCACUGCAACCUCUGCCUCCCAGGUUCAAGCAAUUCUCCUGCCUCAGCCUCCCGAGUAGCUGGGAUUACAGGUGUGCACCAACACUCCUGGCUAAUUCCCUUUUUUUUUUUUUUUUUUUGAGAUAGUGUCUUGCUCUGUCGCCAGGCUGGAGUGCAGUGGUGCAAUCUCGGCUCACUGCAACCUCCACCUCCUGGGUUCAAGUGAUUCUCCUGCCUCAGCCUCCCGAGUAGCUGGCACUACAGGCACGCACCACCACGCCCAGCUAAUUUUUGUAUUUUUAGUAGAGACAGGGUUUCACCAUGUUGGCCAGGCUUGUCUUGAACUCGUGAGCUCAAGCAAUCCGCCCCAUCUCGGCCUCCCAAAGUGCUGGGAUCACAGGCGUGAGCCACUGCACCUGGCCAAGAAUGGUUUUUAUAGGGGAACAUUUACAAUCAAUUUGAUAAUAGGGAACACUCACUUUGAACCCAAAUUAAGUCAAAUCUUACCCUCACAAAAGAAUUCCUCUCUUAUUAGUAGACCUGCAUUAAAAAAAUUUACUCAAUAAUUAUUACAGUUUUAAUUUCAUCAGUGACAAUUUUGCAAAAAUUUUUAAUUUCUCAUUAUAAAAGUACCUAUAUACUAUCCUUGAUUUUGCCCCCUGGACCACAAAACCUAAAAUAUUUAUUAUCUGAUCCUUUACACAAAACAGCUGACCCUUGGUCUCAACUAACCUAAAUAAAUAAAUGAGUAAAUUCCAUGGUUGAUGAGAAGUGGGAUAUCUGAAUAGUUUUGAAGUACUGCCCUGCAAGAUUCUUUUUAGUUACAAAGGGAAAAGGAAAAUGUCACAGUGAGAAGCCCAGCAGACACCAGUUUAAGUAAUCAAAGCAAACAUCUUCAGUAAUAGGACAAACUGGAAUUGAGCUCCACCUGCUAGGAUGCAGUGGGAACCCAGAUCACUCCUGUGAUCUUCUUUCCAAAGAGGCAAAACCUGAAUCUAAUCACACGAAAACAAACAAACCCACACCAAUAGAGAUCUAUUAUAUAAAAUAACUGGCCUCUAAUCUAAAAUUGUCAAGGUCAUGUCAAGGAAAGACUGAGGAACUGUUCCAGACAUAAGAGACCAAAGAGACAUGGCAACCAAAUGCUACACAGAAUUCCAAACUGGAUACUUUUGCUAUAAAGGAGAUCCUUGGGACAAAUGGCAAAACAGGAAUGGGCUCCAGGGAUUAACAGGCAAUACUAUACCAGUGUUAAUUUCCUGAUUCCCAUGGUUGUAUUGCAGCUAUGCAGCUAUGCAACAUGCAGCAUGUCCUACAAACAAAUCCAUUGUUUGUAGGACAUACACAUUAAAUUUUUCAGGAGUGCUGGGGCAUUGGCUGGUGACUUACUCUCAGCAGUUCAGGGGGAAUAAAGGUUUUUGUACUAUACUUGCAACUUCACUAUACAUUUGAGAUUAUCUCAAAACAAACAAAAUGGAAGGCUUUGACAAAGUUAGGGAGUUUUCUAUUAUUCUCACUUUCCUAGACUCCCUUAGAGCUAGGGAUGCACACACAGCUCUGGUGAAUGAAACACAAGCAGAAGAGUGCUGGGAAUUUAUGGGGGAAGCUUGUGCUUUUCUGACACAGACUCCAUCCCGUCCUCUAUCUUCCAGAACAUGGACGUGAUACUCAGAGGAAAAGCAUUCUGGAUUUUAUAACACCAAGAUGACAUAUAUGAAGAGUAAAACCCUUACACCAAAGAUGGCAGAGAGCAUGCUCAAAAGAUGCUGGCUUCCCCCAAGCAAGACGAUUGCCUACUGCAGAAAGCUCUGAGUGGGACUGCAGGGCGGCUCAGGAGGACAGCAGGGAGAGUUUUGAAGGAGAGCCCAAAGGCUUGGCGCAAACUGAUAGGUGCAAAAUGAGCCCACAUUCCAGAGUGAGGGCUAAACCAUCUACAAGGGACACACAACUGAGAUAUUGAAGAACCCACUUUACAACCCUGAGCACAUCAAGCACUUACAGGUGUUAAAGAUUGAGAUGGAAAGUGGGGAGUAAGUGGAGAGAGACAGAACUUGAUUUCCUUGGAGAAAGAUGGAGAAAUGUUCUGAGGAAGAAGCCUGCCCUUCACAUGAAAACAAGUGAUUGGGGCUUUCAGGAACCACUUGGCGACCAUAAUAGAAAUAAGCGACUGGAGCUGGACCCACGCCUGCAAAGGUGUCUAUUCUGCCUUCUGAAGACAAAAUCUCCUUAAGGAAGUAGAGCCCUCACUAAAUCUCCCAUGAUACGCCCUGAGCUUCUAAAGGGAGUGAUCUUAACACUGGCAUAUUUAUUCUCUGACUCUAAGUAAAAGAGGGACUCCAGCAGCAGUGCUCCGGAGCCAGCCCAUCCUGCCUUGCAAGAACUGACAGUGAAAUUUUCCAGAACUCUGAGAGCCAGUUGUUAAAGGCAUAUGUCAUUUGAAAAUAAAUUAUAUAAACUUAAAAUUAUAUCACAUUAAAAAUAAAAGUAAUAAGUACU